rnacentral:tRNA from 1 species
GCCCCAGUGGCGGAAUUGGUAGACGCAGGGGACUCACACUCCCCCGGUCAUUGCAGCAGAAACCUGCAAGCCGUCCGGGCAACUCCCGGCUGGGGCACCA